UACGUAGGGGGCGAGCGUUGUCCGGAAUCACUGGGCGUAAAGCGCACGUAGGCGGAUUGCUAAGUCAGGGGUGAAAUCCUGGAGCUCAACUCCAGAACUGCCUUUGAUACUGGUGAUCUUGAGUCCGGGAGAGGUGAGUGGAACUGCGAGUGUAGAGGUGAAAUUCGUAGAUAUUCGCAAGAACACCAGUGGCGAAGGCGGCUCACUGGCCCGGUACUGACGCUGAGGUGCGAAAGCGUGGGGAGCAAACAGG
rnacentral:rRNA from 1 species